rnacentral:rRNA from 1 species
CCUACGGGAGGCAGCAGUGGGGAAUUUUGGACAAUGGGCGCAAGCCUGAUCCAGCAAUGCCGCGUGAGUGAAGAAGGCCUUCGGGUUGUAAAGCUCUUUUGUCAGGGAAGAAACGGUGGAGGUUAAUACCUUCUGCUAAUGACGGUACCUGAAGAAUAAGCACCGGCUAACUACGUGCCAGCAGCCGCGGUAAUACGUAGGGUGCAAGCGUUAAUCGGAAUUACUGGGCGUAAAGCGUGCGCAGGCGGUUGUGCAAGACAGAUGUGAAAUCCCCGGGCUCAACCUGGGAAUUGCAUUUGUGACUGUACGGCUAGAGUGUGUCAGAGGGGGGUAGAAUUCCACGUGUAGCAGUGAAAUGCGUAGAGAUGUGGAGGAAUACCGAUGGCGAAGGCAGCCCCCUGGGAUAACACUGACGCUCAUGCACGAAAGCGUGGGGAGCAAACAGGAUUAGAUACCCUGGUAGUCCACGCCCUAAACGAUGUCUACUAGUUGUCGGGUCUUUAUUGACUUGGUAACGCAGCUAACGCGUGAAGUAGACCGCCUGGGGAGUACGGUCGCAAGAUUAAAACUUAAAUGAAUUGACGGCUUGAGAGUAGACGACGACGACGACGAGGGAGGAGG